rnacentral:rRNA from 1 species
UACGGAGGGUGCAAGCGUUGUCCGGAUUUAUUGGGUUUAAAGGGUGCGUAGGCGGCCUUAUAAGUCAGUGGUGAAAUACUUCGGCUCAACCGAAGAGGUGCCAUUGAUACUGUAGGGCUUGAGUACAGACGAGGUAGGCGGAAUUUAUGGUGUAGCGGUGAAAUGCAUAGAUACCAUAAAGAACACCGAUUGCGAAGGCAGCUUACUUGGCUGUAACUGACGCUGAGGCACGAAAGCGUGGGGAUCGAACAGG